CAUCUUUUUUAUGUAUCGAUCUACAUGGAGAGAAAGGUUGCCAGCAAGACCUGCAUUCCAGAACUAUAUUUCCAUCAUGUUUUGCGUAAAUGCAACUGCCUUGCUUGCAUGUGCACUUGCAGCACAUGGGACUGGAUUUGGAAUAUGGUUGUACAAUAUCACGGUCAUAUGUUACCAUGCCAUGUACCUUCCUCUUCUGUAUAUUACUUUCCUAGCGGACUUUUUGCAGGAGG
rnacentral:misc_RNA from 1 species